rnacentral:rRNA from 1 species
GCAUGUGCGCGAGUCAUUGGGAUAANGACUAAACCUAAAGGCGCAAUGAAAGUGAAGGUCCGCCGUGCGCGGACCGAGGGAAGAUGGGCGGUCCCGAGGGGCUGUCUCGCAUUCCCGGGGCGUCUCGUUCUCAUUGCGAGAAGAGGCGCACCCAGAGCGUACACGCUGGGACCCGAAAGAUGGUGAAUUAUGCCUGGUCAGGACGAAGUCAGGGGAAACCCUGAUGGAGGUCCGUAGCGAUUCUGACGUGCAAAUCGAUCGUCGGAACUGGGUAUAGGGGCGAAAGACUAAUCGAACCAUCUAGUAGCUGGUUCCCUCCGAAGUUUCCCUCAGGAUAGCUGGCGCUCGCUUCUCGCGAGUCUCAUUCGGUAAAGCGAAUGAUUAGAGGCAUUGGGGUCGAAACGGCCUCAACCUAUUCUCAAACUUUAAAUGGGUGAGAUCUCCGGCUUGCUUGAACUGUGAAGCCGCGAGAUAUCGGAUCAGAGUGCCAAGUGGGCCACUUUUGGUAAGCAGAACUGGCGCUGUGGGAUGAACCAAACGCCGAGUUAAAGCGCCUAAAUCGACGCUUAUGGGAUACCAUGAAAGGCGUUGGUAACUUAAGACAGCAGGACGGUNGCC